rnacentral:tRNA from 1 species
GUUUGUCUAGCUUAGUUGGUAGAGUGUAAGGCUCUUAACCUUUAUCGUUGUAGGUUUGAGCCUCACGAUGAGCG